UACGAAGGGGGCGAGCGUUGUUCGGAGUUACUGGGCGUAAAGGGCGCGUAGGCGGCGCUCCAAGUUAGGCGUGAAAGCCCCGGGCUCAACCUGGGAAUAGCGCUUAAGACUGGAGUGCUCGAGUGCGGAAGAGGUGAGUGGAAUUCCCAGUGUAGAGGUGAAAUUCGUAGAUAUUGGGAAGAACACCAGUGGCGAAGGCGGCUCACUGGUCCGCAACUGACGCUGAGGCGCGAAAGCGUGGGGAGCAAACAGG
rnacentral:rRNA from 1 species